rnacentral:lncRNA from 1 species
AUGACGAUGAGAGUGCUGCCGAGUUUGAGCGUUUUCUUCAUAUGAGAUUGGGCUUGCCGUCGCGGUCACUGGAGCCGGAUCCAAAUCAGACGUCGCCGUCGUAAGAGCCAGAUCCAAAUCCCUACCCGAAGAGAACUCUGAUUCCAUCGAUUUGCUUCCUCUGCCAGCUCGAGUUGCUACUCAAAAUUUUGGAUGGUUUGCGUUAGUUUUCAAAAUUUAAUUAUGUGGAUGUCGAAGAUCGAGAUGAAUGAUGGCAGAACAGGGGACUCCAAUACUCAGAUUUCAUCUCCCAAGUUCACCACCAUUCAAUCAGCGUCUUGAUUCCCAAGCUCACCGACGGAAGAGCAAGGCGAGCUCAAGAGCUCUUAGACAUCCACGUCGGAGAUAAUUUUGUUAGUUUAAACUGGGGUCAUUUUGUUGCAACUGGGUAAUCUAGAUUGAGGAUUAU